ensembl:sense_intronic D430018E03Rik RIKEN cDNA D430018E03 gene
UGGGCCCAAGAAAGACUUCUUGACCCUUCCUUCCUUCAUCCUUGUAAAGGCUGGACUCCCGGCAAUUCAGAAGCUGAGGCAGAACUGGGAAUUUGGAAUACUUGGUGAAUUCAAGGCAAGCUUGGCCUAUAAGCAAGGCCAUUUCAACAAGCAAGUAAGGGGCUGGGAGUUUAGCGUAGUUGGUAGAGUGCUUGCCCAGCUGACACUAAGCCCUGGGUCAGUUCUUACAACAUGGGGCUGGAGAGAUGACUCAGAAGUCAUCUUACUGCAGCUGGGACAUGCCAACACGCCAGAGGCAGAGGCUAGCCUGGUCUACAGGUCAAGUUCCAAGACAGCCAAGAUAGCCUCUCCUGGCCACUUUGGGCAACUGUGUAGAUGUGAGGCAUAUAAGCUUAUGUGAGCUCACAUUACAUGCACAUACAUACAUACAUACAUACAUAAACAGAUCUCAGUCUCUGUAGUACCACAGAUGUGUUAGCACAUGCUUAUGAUCCUAGCACUUGCUGAUGGAGGCAGGAUUCAAGUCCUCUACUACAUAACAAGUUUGAGGCUGCCCUUGAGCCCACUGUGAUGCUGGACACGACCUUCCCCUCCGUAUCCUCCCGCCUCCAUCUCCUGAGUGCUGAAGUUAUAGGUAUAGAGCACUUUUGGAGUAGCCCAGGCUGGCCUUAAAUUUGUGGCAAUCCUCCUGCCUCAGCCACAAUCCUCCUAGCACCUCACCCAGCAGGGUAGAUGGAGCUCUCAGCCAGCAAGACUGGGGUCCCUUCCUCCCUGCACUGCACUGUCGGUUCCUGGCAGGAUUAUGCUUCGUGUCUGUCCCCGUGCCAGGCUGUACUCGUGCCUCAGGUCCCUGGGCAGUUGAGUUGCAUCUUUCUCACCUUCCUUAACUGGCUCGGGGGCUUCAUGUUGUGGGGUUGGAUUUGGCUUCUCCCACCUCACAGGAUGUAUCUGUAUUUAGGUUGCCUGUGUCUAAUGCCUGCACAGUGUGGUGACUACAUUUGUCCUUCAGGUUUUGUGUCCUGUGUCUGCCUGUCUGUCUGUCUCUCUCUUUUGAGUCUCAAGUAGCCCAGACUAGCCACUAACACGGAGAAGAAUAAUCAGAAUAAACGUAACCUUCUGAUGCCCGCUCGCUACUUCUCAGGUCUUGUCGUUACAGGCAUACACUGCCACGUUAGAUUUAUGCCAUGCUGGGGCCCGGAAGCGUCAGGCAAAUAGUCUGCUGGCUGAGCCACGUCUCAGCCUUGGGGUUUCCUGCUUCUUGGUGCCAUUCUGGGCAUUGACAUCUCAACCCUCCCCAGUACCAGGAUGAGCUGCGUGUGUCCCCAUGCCAGCUCCUUUUCUCUCCUGUUGCACCAUGCAGCCCACUGGAUGUGGGGCUGUGUUCUUCUGCAAGUCCUUCCCCUAUUUGGGCUUCUUUGGCCUCAUAUGAGGUCUGAAUUCAGCUCCUGGGGUCCAGACUCAGUGACAGAGGUUCCUGGUGGACCUUGGGGGUUAGUGGCCUCCCAGGCUGGUGAGCAGGGACUAUCAGAGUUCCGCUUUACCCAGUGCCCACACAUCUCUGCACCGCACCGGUCCAGUUUCCCAUCUUCCCUAGAAACUUGUGCUGGUCUACCUGAUGCAUGGUUGCCUUGCCUGCUGCUGUCUGCCCACAGUGCUGUUGCGUCAGGGUCUGGGCCAUGCACUUGGCUGUCUGAUAAGCCCACCGUGGACUUCUCUCUCUCACCCCCACUUCAGACUCGGCAGGGAAGGAUCCCUCAUUCGUCCCUGCUUCCUUGGGCUCUCCCACUUGGGCCAGGCCUUGCAAACCCUGGGAAUGGGGAGGGCCCUGUGUCCUCUGGUCACUGUGGCGCCGUGAUACUGUGGCACUGUGGAGGUAGAGCCUUGAGACCCCAAGGCUCCUCCCAACCUUGUCUCUGGGGAGCAGCCUCAUCUCCCAGGCACAACUGGAACCUGUCCAUGACAGACCCACUCCUGCCCACCCUGGGUAAGCCGUGACAUGGGAACCACUGCCACUCAUCCCACCUGGUGCCUUCGGCUUCCCAGAAGGCUUCCUCUUCAUGUCUGCCUGCUGCCACAUGACCUAGGCAUGACAGCUUGAACCCCAUAUGGGACUUUUCUAGGUCCUGUCUCCUCCCUGCAACAGGGCCUGAGCCCAGAAGCACGCGUGAUGGCCCUGGCACAACCCCAGACAGUAGCAAAGUGAAGGUGAGGUCACUGCUCGCCGGGAGCAGUUACAGACCUGACAUCUGUGGCCAUGUCUCAACAGCCUCCGGCCUGAAGACUCAGGAAUCCCAAUCCCGAGUGCAGUGUGAGGCGCUGUCCUCCAGCUCCUCUCAGGCUAAUAUGACAGAGGUCUGCCGUCCACUGCGGUGGCCAUGUCAUUCUCUUGAGGCCAGUUGGCACUGUCUUCCCAUGUGGGAUCUUAAAGUAUGUUUGUGUCUGUCCCCGUAUGUUGGGCAUAUGGCCCUGGAAGGCCACCUGGCUGCUCCAGCCCCAGUGGUGUUCCAUGUAGACAUGGGGGGCAUUCUUUCUGUAAGUUUCCAGCUUGCCAGAACCACAGUUAACAGCCCCCCCUCUGCUGCUGUGUUCUGGCAAGCUCCGGCCCCUGGCAGCCUCGGGGCAGCCGCGCUCAAAGCUGAGUGUGCACAUGUGAUUCUCCAUGCCGGGAAGACAGGGUUCUGCGUCUGGUCUGCAGACUGCAGAGAAGUGCUCUCAGAUGGAGCAGGGGAUUGCUUAAGUCUGCCUUGGAUGUCAGUUUCAGAGUGCAAUCAGGUUGGGGGAUGAGGCUUGGUCAGUAGAGGGCUCUCCUGGCGUGCACAAAGCCCUAGGCUCCAGUCCCCACAUGGCACAGACUAGGCAUAGUGGUUCAGGUUUAUAAUCCCAGCACUUGAGAGGUGGGGGCAGGAGGAUCCAAAGUUCAAGGUCAUCCUUGGCUUCAUAACAAGUUUGAGGCCAACCUGGGAAGCGUGCAGUGUCGUGAAAGCCUGUCUCAAGAAAGUUAAAAAAUAACAAACAUAAAAAACAUGGGGUUUCUGAUGCUCGCAGCCCCAGUUGCUCCACAGCCGGCGUGGCUUCUGUAGGUGGCAUUUGGAGUCUGGGAGCUGCCCAGUCACACCGUGUGGUACCACUCUGUGUGGGAGCCCUAGACCAGGCUGUUGGGGUGUUCUCACCUGACAAGCCGACCAUGUGGGUCUGCCGCUGCUGGCUCAGCUGGAAGAGCUGUGACCUGGAUGCUGAUCUAGGUGGCUGCUGAGUCCCAGCUCCAUUGAGCACAUUCAGAAGCCAGGAGCUGGGAACCGCGUGAGGCCUGUAGAAGAUGGCCAAGGUGGAUGGGCCCCACCAUAGCGUUGGCAGCAUGGGGGGGGGCCACAGGCCAUUUCAGAAAGGAAGAUGUUGUCUGGUGUUCACUUGGUGGGUCUGUCUGGAUGUGGAGCUAAAGGUGAUCUGACCUGGGAAUUCUGUCCUUAUCCCAGAACCUCUAAUUAGCCAGGUGGUGGUGUGGUGGUGGUGGUGGUGGUGGGGGCAUUCCUUUAUUCCCAGCGCUUGGGAGAUAGAGGCAGGAUGAUCUCUGUGAGUUCAAGGCCAGUCCUGGUCUACAGGACGGCAGGUUCCAGGACAGCCAAAAUUACACAGAGAAACCCUGUCUCAAAAAACAAAACAAGGGCUGGAGAGAUGACUCAGUGGUUAAGAGCACUGGUUGCUCCUCCAGAGGACCCAGGUUCAAAUUCCAGCAGCUAACAACUGUCUGUAACUCUAGUUCCAGGGAUCUAGCACCCUCAUACAGACAUGCCUAGCAAUGCACAUGAAAUGAAAAUAAGGAGACUAUUU